ensembl:antisense_RNA C44C10.13 ncRNA
GAAUUUUUUUGAUUUCUUUUUCAAGCAUAGAGCGUUUAUAGCUAGUAGCUAUAAUAUCGUCACUUUCCUGCAAACUCAUUGGAAAACCGAAUGUUCAUGUUUGGAUGAUUCACAGCAAAUUGAAGAAGCUCCCGACGUUCUGUCACUUUUUCAUUCAAAUAACUGUUCAGCUUGUCCACCGUAAUCAAAUUGUCGUAAUGAUUGUGAGUCUUUGGUCGGACAACAAUCGCAUUGUUUUUAAAGUUUGGUGAUGGAGUUUGUUUCGGAAUUGCUUCUGAGUAUCUUGAAAUUCUUAAUGGCAUCUUUGCAUUCUGGAAAAAAUAAAAGCAUUGAAGGU